rnacentral:rRNA from 1 species
UACGUAGGGUGCGAGCGUUAAUCGGAAUUACUGGGCGUAAAGUGUGCGCAGGCGGCCGAGCAAGUCGAGUGUGAAAUCCCCGGGCUUAACUUGGGAAUUGCGCUCGAAACUACUUGGCUGGAGUGUGGCAGAGGAAGGUGGAAUUCCACGUGUAGCGGUGAAAUGCGUAGAGAUGUGGAGGAACACCGAUGGCGAAGGCAGCCUUCUGGGCCAACACUGACGCUCAUGCACGAAAGCGUGGGGAGCAAACAGGAUUAGAAACCCCGGGUAGU